rnacentral:rRNA from 1 species
UGAACGCUGGCGGCAGGCCUAAUACAUGCAAGUCGAGCGGAAACGAUGGGAGCUUGCUCCCAGGCGUCGAGCGGCGGACGGGUGAGUAACGCGUAGGAAUCUACCCAGUAGCGGGGGAUAGCCCGGGGAAACCCGGAUUAAUACCGCAUACGCCCCACGGGGGAAAGCAGGGGACCUGUUUCUUUUACGAGAAGCGGACCUUGCACUAUUGGAUGAGCCUGCGUUGGAUUAGCUAGUUGGUGGGGUAAAGGCCUACCAAGGCGACGAUCCAUAGCUGGUCUGAGAGGAUGAUCAGCCACACUGGGACUGAGACACGGCCCAGACUCCUACGGGAGGCAGCAGUAGGGAAUAUUGGACAAUGGGGGCAACCCUGAUCCAGCCAUGCCGCGUGUGUGAAGAAGGCUUUCGGGUUGUAAAGCACUUUCAGCGAGGAGGAAACGGCAGCGGCUAAUACCCGCAGUCUAUGACGUUACUCGCAGAAGAAGGACCGGCUAACUCC